rnacentral:rRNA from 1 species
CCUACGGGAGGCAGCAGUGGGGAAUUUUGGACAAUGGGCGCAAGCCUGAUCCAGCCAUUCCGCGUGAGUGAAGAAGGCCUUCGGGUUGUAAAGCUCUUUCGCAAGGGAAGAAAGAUUACAUUCUAAUAUAAUGUGAUUAUGACGGUACCUUGAUAAGAAGCACCGGCUAACUACGUGCCAGCAGCCGCGGUAAUACGUAGGGUGCGAGCGUUAAUCGGAAUUACUGGGCGUAAAGCGUGCGCAGGCUGUUUUGUAAGUCAGAUGUGAAAUCCCCGAGCUCAACUUGGGAACUGCGUUUGAAACUACAAGACUAGAAUAGGUCAGAGGGGGUAGAAUUCCACGUGUAGCAGUGAAAUGCGUAGAGAUGUGGAGGAAUAUCAAUGGCGAAGGCAGCCCCCUGGGAUCAUAUUGACGCUCAUGCACGAACGACGGUGGGGAGGACGAAACGAAGGAGUUAGUACUACCCGUACGGUACGUACCGACCGACCCGUAAACCGUAACUAGUACUAACUAGUUGUUGGUAGUAAGUAAAUACUAUAGAGUAACGAC